rnacentral:rRNA from 1 species
CCUACGGGGGGCAGCAGUGGGGAAUAUUGCGCAAUGGGGGGAACCCUGACGCAGCCAUGCCGCGUGAAUGAAGAAGGCCUUCGGGUUGUAAAGUUCUUUCGGUGAUGAGGAAGGUGGUUGCUUUAAUAGAGUAGCCAAUUGACGUUAGUCACAGAAGAAGCACCGGCUAACUCCGUGCCAGCAGCCGCGGUAAUACGGAGGGUGCGAGCGUUAAUCGGAAUAACUGGGCGUAAAGGGCACGCAGGCGGUUGUUUAAGUGAGGUGUGAAAUCCCCGGGCUUAACCUGGGAAUUGCAUUUCAGACUGGACGACUAGAGUAUUUUAGGGAGGGGUAGAAUUCCACGUGUAGCGGUGAAAUGCGUAGAGAUGUGGAGGAAUACCGAAGGCGAAGGCAGCCCCUUGGGGAGAUACUGACGCUCAUGUGCGAAAGCGUGGGGAG